rnacentral:lncRNA from 10 species
UAGCUUCAGUGAGACUCUAUCAAAUUGAAACAAACUGCAGGAACAGACACUUUUUCUCAGUGCAUGGCUGCCACUCUUGGAGAGCAGGAAAGAUGUGCAGUAGGAGCACCUGAGCGGCUCUUCACCACAGGUUCUCUGCUGUCAAAUGGAGAAAAACAAAAACAAGGGUCAGAGAGCUAUUUUUAUUGAAGAUCUCAAGAAGGACCAAGUCAUUCAUCAAGUGGAGCGGAUGUGGUCAGGAAAAAGGACUGGCCAGAGAAAAUCCAUCUGCAGAGCCUCAUCCUUAUUGGUCAUUUUUCCCCAAAAGACAUCCCAGGAUUCCUGUAUCCUCUGAAUGUGACCCAUCGCCACCUUCAUCAUCAGCCUCAUCAUCAUCAAUGUUUACUUA